rnacentral:rRNA from 1 species
CCUACGGGUGGCAGCAGUGGGGAAUAUUGGACAAUGGGGGCAACCCUGAUCCAGCCAUGCCGCGUGUGUGAAGAAGGCCCUCGGGUUGUAAAGCACUUUCAGUGAGGAAGAACGCCUGGUGGUUAAUACCCAUCAGGAAAGACAUCACUCACAGAAGAAGCACCGGCUAACUCCGUGCCAGCAGCCGCGGUAAUACGGAGGGUGCGAGCGUUAAUCGGAAUUACUGGGCGUAAAGCGCGCGUAGGUGGCUUGAUAAGCCGGUUGUGAAAGCCCCGGGCUCAACCUGGGAACGGCAUCCGGAACUGUCAAGCUAGAGUGAAGGAGAGGAAGGUAGAAUUCCCGGUGUAGCGGUGAAAUGCGUAGAGAUCGGGAGGAAUACCAGUGGCGAAGGCGGCCUUCUGGACUGACACUGACACUGAGGUGCGAAAGCGUGGGUAGCAAACAGGAUUAGAUACCCGUGUAGUC